AACGCGAAGAACCUUACCCACCUUUGACAUGUACGGAAUUUUCCAGAGAUGGAUUAGUGCUCGAAAGAGAGCCGUAACACAGGUGCUGCAUGGCUGUCGUCAGCCCGUGUCGUGAGAUGUUGGGUUAAGUCCCGCAACGAGCGCAACCCUUGUCAUUAGUUGCUACAUUUAGUUGGGCACUCUAAUGAGACUGCCGGUGACAAACCGGAGGAAGGUGGGGAUGACGUCAAGUCCUCAUGGUCCUUAUAGGUGGGGCUACACACGUCAUACAAUGGCUGGUACAAAGGGUUGCCAACCCGCGAGGGGGAGCUAAUCCCAUAAAGCCAGUCGUAGUCCGGAUCGUAGUCUGCAACUCGACUACGUGAAGUCGGAAUCGCUAGUAAUCGUGGAUCAGAGUGUCACGGUGAAUACGUUCCCGGGUCUUGUACACACGC
rnacentral:rRNA from 1 species